rnacentral:rRNA from 1 species
GGCCAUCGCUCAACGGAUAAAAGGUACUCCGGGGAUAACAGGCUGAUACCGCCCAAGAGUUCAUAUCGACGGCGGUGUUUGGCACCUCGAUGUCGGCUCAUCACAUCCUGGGGCUGAAGUAGGUCCCAAGGGUAUGGCUGUUCGCCAUUUAAAGUGGUACGCGAGCUGGGUUUAGAACGUCGUGAGACAGUUCGGUCCCUAUCUGCCGUGGGCGCUGGAGAAUUGAGGGGGGCUGCUCCUAGUACGAGAGGACCGGAGUGGACGCAUCACUGGUGUUCGGGUUGUCAUGCCAAUGGCAUUGCCCGGUAGCUAAAUGCGGAAGAGAUAAGUGCUGAAAGCAUCUAAGCACGAAACUUGCCCCGAGAUGAGUUCUCCCUGAGACUUUAAGUCUCCUGAAGGAACGUUGAAGACGACGACGUUGAUAGGCCGGGUGUGUAAGCGCAGCGAUGCGUUGAGCUAACCGGUACUAAUGAACCGUGAGGCUUAACCUU